AAUUCUUUCCUUCAGUCAGCAUUAGGGUUUUCGACCCUAAACUGAACUUUUUCUAUUCAGUCAGCAUUAGGGUUUUAAACUCUAAACUGAACUGUUUCCUUUAGUCAGCAUUAGGGUUUUAAACCUUAAACUGAACUCUUUCCUUCAGUCAGCAUUAGGGUUUUAGACCCUAAACUGAACUUUUUCUAUUCAGUCAGCAUUAGGGUUUUAAACCCUAAACUGAACUUUUUCCAUUUAGUCAGCAUUAGGGUUUUAAACCCAAAACUGAACUUUUUCCAUUUAGUCAGCAUGAGGGUUUUAAACCCUAAACUGAACUUUUCCUUUAGUUAGCAUUAGGGUUUUAAAACCUUAAACUGAACUUUUCCAUUUAGUCAGCAUUAGAGUUUUAAACCCUAAACUGAACUGUUUCCUUUAGUCAGCAUUAGAGUUUUAAACCUUAAACUGAACUCUUUCCUUCAGUCAGCAUUAGGGUUUUAAACCCUAAAUUGAACUUUUUCCAUUCAGUCAGUAUUAGGGUUUUAAACCCUAAACUGAACUUUUUCCUUUAGUCAGCAUUAGGGUUUUAAACCCUAAACUGAACUCUUUCCUUUAGUCAUCAUUAGGGUUUUAAACCCUAAACUGAACUUUUUCCUUCAGUCAGCAUUAGGGUUUUAAACCGUAAAUUGAACUUUUUCCAUUCAGCCAGCAUUAGGGUUUUAAACCCUAAACUGAACUUUUUCCAUUUAGUCAGCAUUAGUGUUUUAAACCCUAAACUGAACUCUUUCCUUCAGUCAGCAUUAGGGUUUUAAACCCUAAACUGAACUUUUUCCAUUCAGUCAGCAUUAGGGUUUUAAACCUUAAACUGAACUCUUUCCUUUAGUCAACAUUAGGGUUUUAAACCCUAAACUGAACUUUUUUCUUUAGUCAGCAUUAGGGUUUUAAACCCUAAACUGAACUUUUUCCUUCAGUCGGCAUUAGGGUUUUAAACCCUAAACUGAACUCUUUCCUUCAGUCAGUAUUAGGGUUUUAAAACCCAAAAUUGAACUUUUUCCAUUAAGUCAGUAUUAGGGUUUUAAACCCUAAACUGAACUCUUUCCUUCAGUCAGCAUUAGGGUUUUAGACCCUAAACUGAACUUUUUCUAUUCAGUCAGUAUUAGGG
rnacentral:lncRNA from 1 species